ACUCUUCUAGUGGUGUUAGUAUCUCAGUACUUGCCUUUACAGACUCAAGCAUCAGCCUAUACUUACUCUUCCCCUCCUCCUCCUUAUCACUAUAAGUCACCACCACCCCCUCCCCCGGUUCACUCACCACCACCACCACCCUACCACUACAAAUCACCACCACCGCCACCCCCGGUUCACUCACCACCACCACCUUACCAUUAUAAGUCCCCACCCCCACCACCUCCCAAGCACUCACCACCUCCUCCUUACCACUACAAAUCACCACCACCUCCUCCUCCUGUCCACUCACCACCCCCUCCUUACCAUUAUAAAUCCCCACCUCCACCAGUGCACUCACCACCUCCUCCAUACCACUAUAAAUCCCCACCACCACCACCUCCAGUUCACUCUCCACCCCCACCAUAUCAUUACAAGUCACCACCACCGCCAGUACACUCACCACCUCCUCCUUAUCACUACAAGUCACCACCACCACCAGUGCACUCCCCCCCCCCACCAUAUCAUUACAAGUCACCACCACCGCCAGUACACUCACCACCACCUCCUUAUCACUACAAGUCACCACCACCACCAGUGCACUCCCCUCCCCCACCAUACCACUACAAAUCACCACCACCCCCAGUGCAUUCACCACCACCACCAUACCACUAUAAGUCACCACCACCUCCAGUGCACUCACCACCACCCCCUUACCAUUACAAGUCACCACCUCCACCACCACCAGUACACUCCCCUCCCCCACCUUAUCACUACAAGUCACCACCACCCCCAGUGCAUUCACCACCACCACCAUACCACUAUAAGUCACCACCUCCCCCUCCACCCGUACACUCCCCUCCCCCCCCCUACCACUACAAAUCACCACCACCCCCAGUGCACUCACCACCACCACCAUACCAUUACAAAUCACCAC
rnacentral:lncRNA from 1 species